rnacentral:pre_miRNA from 1 species
AGUGAGAUUGCUAAGUCACAUGGUGUUUACUUAACUUUAUAAGUAACUUUCAAAUUAUUUUCCAAAUUAACUGUGCCAUUUUACAUUCAUACCAGCAAU